rnacentral:rRNA from 1 species
GGACUCUGUGCGCGUGCAUAUCAAUAAGCGGAGGAAAAGAAACUAACAAGGAUUCCCUUAGUAACGGCGAGUGAAGCGGGAAGAGCUCAAAUUUGAAAUCUUCAAGGUUUACCUUGACGAAUUGUAGUUUAAAGAAGUGUUUUCUGUUGAAGUUUUGGUAAAAGUUCUUUGGAAUAGGACAUCAUAGAGGGUGAGAAUCCCGUAUUUGACCAUUAUUUUCAGCUGUGUGAUACACUUUCAAAGAGUCGGAUUGUUUGGGAAUGCAGUCCAAAAUGGGUGGUAAACUUCAUCUAAAGCUAAAUAUUGGCGAGAGACCGAUAGCGAACAAGUACCGUGAGGGAAAGAUGAAAAGAACUUUGAAAAGAGAGUUAAACAGUACGUGAAAUUGUCAAAAGGGAAGCGUUUGACACCAGUGUUGUUUUCUCGAAAAUCAAUUAAAAAGAGUUGGAUUUUGUGUUGUAUUGACCUUAACAGCUUUCUUCACUCUUUUCCUGCUUUUUUUAAUGCACUUUUCGUUUAACAAGUCAACAUCAGUUUCUUUUGUUGUAAAAGGGUCAUUGGAAGGUGGCUUUCUUUUCGGAGAAAGUGUUUAUAGCCUUUGAUCUCUGCAAUCGGAGAGACUGAGGUCUGCAGCGUAGAUCCUUCGGGGUUAGAUACAUUUGUGCUAAGUUAUAACUUUUCAUAGACAACUUGUUGACUAUGUUUAGUCAUGUAGCUUACUCGCUUAUGCUAUUUUACCUACGCUUAGGAUGUUGAAUCUGUGCGAGACUAC